UGAUAGCUCUAGUUACUUAAAUUUUAAAGGUUUAAUGACUGAAAUUGAAUCAUUUGAUACCAUUAAUGGCAUAAAAAGUUUAUUCAAUGAGUACUGUCUUGUUCUUAUAAUGCGAUCUACUUUUGUCAAUACGAUUGCUGUAGAACUGAUUGGACCUACAUAUUGACAAUAGUUUAACUGUUGUUCUGUUUCCUUUUUACAGUCCCAAUAUUAUUGCGCAUUCGGUAGCAAAGAUGUUGACACCACAUGUCGUCUGAUGAUGACUUACCGAUCGAAUAAGGUUUGGUCAUUGUAUUCCCUGAAAGGAAUGAGAGGAGAAAAGGAACUGGAAGACCUGGCUAUCUGCAGGCCAAUGCUGGCUGCAGGUCAAUAUUGAAUGCUCUUAUGAAAACUCAUAAGACAAUAACAAAAAAAAGAAGCUGAGGAUGCUGUUUUUAAAACAUGCUCCAUUCAAAAAAGGUGGAUUGAAAUUUAAGAAAGGUGUGACGGUUGCGUCUGCUGCAGGCAGGGAGGAUUUGACUGUCAGCCAGAGGAUUUGGAGAUAUUCUGUAAUGUCUUUAAUGUGGACUUGCGUGUGAUUUAAGUUUUCACAAGGGCUUUAGUGUGUGUGAAAGUAUGUCAGUUUUCAAAAUUGAGCUAUGUCAAUUUGCUCAAACUACAUAACUCAAAGAACUUUGAAGCGGUCUUGUUGACGUCAUGAGCUUUUGUUUAAUACCAGUAUUGGUGAUAUAGGCCCAUGAUUAUAUACUGUAGAAAGUGAACAAGUUCACUGCUCGAUACAGAUAGUCAUAUAGCCUGAUCUCUGAAUGAUAUUUAUGAACCAAAAGAAGGCAUAAAAUAAAAACAUACAGUAGUGAUUUGAAUUAUUGAUAUUGUUAAACUAGAUCUGGGCCAGUAUUCAUAAAGGAUCUUAGUAAAAAAAAUUAUCUAGAA